rnacentral:rRNA from 1 species
AGAAUCAACGCUGGCGGCGUGCCUCAGACAUGCAAGUCAAACGCGAAAGUCCCCUUCGGGGGACAAGUAGAGUGGCGCACGGGUGAGUAACACGUAGGUAAUCUACCUUCGGAUGGGGAAUAACAACCGGAAACGGUUGCUAAUACCGCAUAAUGCAGCGGCACCUAAUGGUGACAGUUGUUAAAGCGGGGGAUCGAAAGACCUCGCGUCUGAAGAGGAGCCUGCGGCGGAUUAGCUAGUUGGUAGGGUAACGGCCUACCAAGGCGACGAUCCGUAGCCGGCCUGAGAGGGCGGUCGGGCCACGACUGACACUGACAUACGGGUCAGACCUCCUACGGGAGGCAGUCAGUCGGGAAUUUUUGGGCAAGUGGGCGAAAGCCUGACCCGAGCCAACGCCGUCGUACGAAGG